UGAAGAUCUACAAAAGAAGUGAAAAUAGCCUUAGCUGAUGACAUUCCACCAUUGUGAUCUGUUUCUGCCCCACCCUAACUGAUCAAUAUACUUUGUAAUCUCCCCCACCCUUAAGAAGGUUCUUUGUAGGCCGGGCACGGUGGCCCAAGCCUGUAAUCCUAGCUCUUUGGGAGGCCGAGGCGGGCAGAUCACGAGGUCAGAAGAUCAAGACCAUCCUGGCUAACACGGUGAAACCCUGUCUCUACUAAAAAUACAAAAAAAAAUUAGCUGGGCGUAGUGGCGGGCGCCUGUGGUCCCAGCUACUCCGGAGGCUGAGGCAGGAGAAUGGCUUGAACUCGGGAGGCGGAGCUUGCAGUGAGCCGAGAAAGAGCCACUGCACUCCAGCCUGGGCGACAGAGCCAGACUCCGUCUCAAAAAAAAAAAAAAAAAGGUUCUUUGUAAUUCUCCCCACCCUUGAGAAUGUACUUUGUGAGAUCCACCCCUGCCCACAGAACAUUGCUCCUAACUCCACCGCCUAUCCCAAAACCUAUAAGAACCAAUGAUAAUCCCACUACCCUUUGAUGACUCUCUUUUUGGACUCAGCCCGCCUGCACCCAGGUGAAAUAAACAGCCUCGUUGCUCACACAAAGCCUGUUUGGUGGUCUCUUCACACGGACGCAUGAGACAUUUGGUGCCGAAGACCCGGGUCAGCGGGACUCCUUCGGGACAGCAGUCCCCUGUCCUCACCUUCACUCCCUGAAGAGAUCCACCUACAACCUCAGGUCCGCAGACCAACCAGCCCAAGGAACAUCUCACUGAUUUUAAAUUGGACUCUCUUCACACGGGCGAGUGUGACAUUUGGUGCCGAAGACCCAGGACAGGAGGACUCCUUUGGGAGACCGGUCUCCUGUCCUCGCCCUCACUCCGUGAGGAGAUCCACCUGCAACCUCAGGUCCUCAGACCAACCAGCCGAAGGAACAUCUCACCAAUUUCAAAUGGGCUUAGCGGCUGAAGACUGAUGCUGCCUGGUCGCCUCGGAAGCCCCCUGGACCAUCAUGGACGCCGAGCUUCGGGUAACUCUCACAGUGGAGGCCUGUUUGGUGACUUUCUUCGCACCGACGUGCGUGACACAAUGUUUGCAGAAUAUGAAGGUGGCUGUCACGUGGUCUGGGCUUCCUGGAGGUUUGAGCUGGGAGCUGAAGCCCCGUAGGAGUUCUGUAAGUCAAAAGGGAAGAGAAGAGCAUUCCACGUAGAGAAAAGAAUCUGUGCUCCAGGCGCGGUGGCUCACGAUUGUAAUCUCAGCACUUGGUGUCAGGCCUCUGAGCCCAGGCUAAGCCAUUGUAUAUCCCCCGUGACCUGCAUGUAUACAUCCAGAUGGCCUGAAGCAGCUGAAGAACCACAAGAGAAGUGAAAAUAGCCAGUUCCUGCCUUAACUGAUGUCAUUCCACCAUUGUGAUUUGUUCCUGUCCCACCUUUACUGAUCAAUUAACUUUGUGACAUUUCUUCUCCUGGACAAUGAGUCUCAUGAUCUCCCUACCCAGCACCUUGUGACCCCUGCCCCUGCCCGCAAGAGAUAACCAUCUUUAACUGUAACUUUCCACUACCUACCUAAAUCCUGUAAAAACUGACCCACCCCCUAUCUCCCUUUGCUGACUCCUUUUUCGGACUCAGCCCGCCUGCACCCAGGUGAUUAAAAAGCUUUAUUGUUCACAUGAAGCCUGUUUGGUGGUCUCUUCACACAGACACGCAUGACAUUUUGGGAGGCUGAGGCGGGUGGAUCACCUGUAGUCAGGAGUUUGAGACCAGCCUGGCCAACAUGGUGAAACCCUGUCUCUACUAAAAAUACAAAAAUUAGCCGGGCGCAGUGGUGGGCACCUGUAAUCCCAGCUACUCAGUAGGCUGAGGCAAGAGAAUCGCUUGAAUCCAGGAGGAGGAGAUUGCAGUGAGCCGAGAUCAUGCCACUGCCAUCCAGCCUGGGUGACAGAGACGCUGUCUCAAAAAAAAAGAAUCUGUGCAAAGCAGAGGUCCAGGCGCAUUAGAGGAGCUGAAGGAAACUCUAGGCUGGGUCUUCACAAGCGGAAGAUGAGACAGUGCUGCUUCUGGGGCUGAGCCACAUCCAGCCAUGGUCAAUGGUGGCAUGUUUAGCACCAGGGUGAUAGGAAGCCGUGCAAAGCUUCAAGCAGUGGGGUUGCUUUUUUUUUUUUUUUUUGACACAGAAUCUCACUCUGUCGCCCAGGCUGGAACUGCAAUGGCAUGACCAUGACUCGCUGCAGCCUCCACCUCCCAGGCUCAAGCGAUCCUCCUGCCUCAGGCUCCCGAGUAGCUAGGGCUACAGCCAUGUGCCACUAUGCCUGGCUAAUAUGGUUUAUUUUUUGUAGAGACGAGGUCUCGCUAUGUUGCCCAGGCUGGUUUCAAACUCCUGAGCUCAAGCAAUCUGCCCGCCUCAGCCUCCCAAAGCACUGGGAUUACAGGCGUGAGCCACUGCGCUCGGCCAUUUUUCUUUUCUUUUUUUUUUUUUUUUGAGACAAGGUCUCACUCUCAUCCAGGCUACAGUUCAGUGUGGCGAUCAUAGCUCACUGCAGCCUCUAACUCCUGGGCUCAAAUGAUCCUCCUGCCUUAGCCUCCCUGGUUGCUAGCAGUACAGGCGUGCACCACCACGUUAAUUUUUAAUUUUUUUUUUUUGAGAUGGAGUCUUGCUCUGUCUUCCAGGCUAGAGUACAGUGGUGCAAUAUUGGCUCCUCCGCCUCCUGGGUUCAAGCGAUUCUCCUGCCUCAGCCUCUUGAGUAGCUGGGACUACAGGCACAUGCAACCACGCCUGGCUAAUUUUUGUAUUUUUAGUAGAGAUGGGGUUUCACCAUGUUGGCCAGGCUGGUCUUGAACUCCUGGCUUCAAGUGAUCCUCCCACCUCAAUCUCCCAAAUCCCUGGGAUUACAAGCGUGAGCCACCGCACCCAGCCAGGUUACCAUAUUAAUAUGUGGUUUGAGAUGCUUUAUCAGGACAUGCUGGGCACAGGCCAUCGGGACAGAGCAGAGGAGAGCGGGGAGGAAGAGGAGGCUGUUUUCAGGUGUCCUGGCAAGCGGUGAGGGUCCUCUGCCCCAGAGCGGUGGCCUCACCAAGGCCCUCUGUGUGCCUCAAAAGCACUCCUUUGGCCGGGCACGGUGGCUCACGCCUGUAAUCCCAGCACUUUGAGAGGCCGA
rnacentral:lncRNA from 10 species